rnacentral:ncRNA from 1 species
AAAGACUUAGUCCUAACCUUACCGGUAAUUCUUGGCAAAUAUAUACAUGCAAGUAUCCGCACCCCAGUGUAAAUACCCUUGGCCCCUUAUAUAAGGAAAGAGGAGUGGACAUCAGGCGCACCACCUACCGUAGCCCAAGACGUCUUGCUCAGCCACACCCCCACGGGUACUCAGCAGUAAUUAACAUUAAGCAAUAAGUGUAAGCUUGACUUAGUUAUGGCAAACCUCUAAGGGUUGGUAAAUCUUGUGCCAGCCACCGCGGUCACACAAGAGACCCAAAUUAACGAUUACACGGCGUAAAGAGUGGCACUACGCUAUCCUCAAAACUAAGACUAAAGUACAACUAAGCUGUCAUAAGCUCAAGAUGCUACUAACCCCUCCCCUCAACACGGUCUUAGUCUAUCAGACCAACUUAUUCCACGAAAGCUAAGACACAAACUGGGAUUAGAUCCCCACUAUGCUUAGCCCUAAAUCUCGAUGUCCACCUUACUAGGACAUCCGCCUGAGAACUACGAGCACAAACGCUUAAAACUCUAAGGACUUGGCGGUACCCCAAACCCACCUAGAGGAGCCUGUUCUAUAAUCGAUAACCCACGUUGCACCCGACCGCUCUUUGCCAAAUCAGCCUACAUACCGCCGUCGCCAGCUCACCUUCACUGAAAGUACUACAGUGAGCAUAAUAGCCCGCCCGCUAAUAAGACAGGUCGAGGUAUAGCCCAUAGAGCGGAAGAAAUGGGCUACACUCUCUAGAGUAGAGAAAUUCACGGAAGGGGGCGUGAAAUAGCCCCUAGAAGGCGGAUUUAGCAGUAAAACGGGACAAUAAAGUCCCUUUUAAGCUGGCUCUGGGGUACGUACAUACCGCCCGUCACCCUCCUCACAAGCUACUAACCACCAUAAGUAAUUCCCCACACAGCUGAAGAGGAGGUAAGUCGUAACAAGGUAAGUGUACCGGAAGGUGCACUUAGCACAA